GAUCUUCUACUGUUGCCGGAGCAUGAUAAAGCAAAGUAUCCGCUUGAUGAGAAAGCUGAGAAGAAGAAAGGAGCCAAGAACCGUACCAACCCUUCUUGCAAUUGACCGUUUUUGACGAAAAUGAACUCGAACAGGUAUGUAGAUGAAUAUAUAUCUUCCCAGUUUCAAUUUCUUUUGUAUUUUUGUUGGAUUUAUUCGGUGGCCGUUCCUCUGUAAUCCUUAGUUCUCUCUUGGUUUAGGCUAGAUUGUUUGAUUCAUAUUUUUGACAUGAAUGUUAAUCCCUCCUUAAUUAUCAACAUCUGU